AUGUUGAAGGCUAUAGCUGCAUUGGGUGCAGAUGACUAUACCUCUCACUUGUGUGUGUGGGAGUCUGCAGGUAUACUGACCAGGAGGUACACAAAGGAAACCUGUUCGAUCACCAGCAUUCUGGUUAUGGAUACGGAGAACAUCAACACGAUAGAGGAUAUAUUCAUUGGACUUGGGGCUCGGAUCGGAAUUUUACUCAUCUUUGGAUUUUUAAAUUGUGCUUUGCCACUAAAAUCAUAAACACUGGCAACUGAAAUAUUGUGUUCUUGUUGUUAUUGUUCUGUGUAUUAUUAUUAAUAAUUGGGGAUGGAAGAGUUAAAGAUUGUACCCCAAAACGUUAUUCGAGGAUCGAUUAAAAGGGGUUCUUUGAAGAAUUUAUAGAAGUUCUCCACAGUUUCAAUUUGAAGAACCCCUAAAGGAUCCUCCAGCAAUCUUUUAUUAUUAGAGUGUACAGCACAGCCAGGCCAAUUCAGGGCUUCUGACGUAAGAUAUAUUAUUUAGUCCGUUUUUGUUUGUUGUUGCAAACAAGCAACAUUUUAAUUAUUUUUCAUUAAAAAUUAGAAGGCCAUUAUUUUUUUCAGUUAUUGCACGGUACAUGUUAAGUAGGCUAUUUCUACAUAUACACACAUCAUCUGUAUCUUACCCCGUCUUGGUUCGCAGUUGAACUAUUUUACUUUCACUCUGACUUUCCAAAUAACGUUGAGAAAAGUGGGAGGCAACCUACUGAUAAUCCACUAUACAGUUUAAAUGGAUAAUCCACCCCAGAAAUACAAAUCAAUUUGGUGAAAGCCUAUGUUCUAUCAGUUGGUAAAAUACAUUUCUCCUCAUGAUUUAACUUGUAAAUGGUCCGCCUGUGAAAAUCUGGACAUCGUGUAUGAACGCAUCAUAACUAGGCUAUAGAAUUAUUGUCACUGGAGAUACAGGAUUUCACAUUUCAUAACGCUUUCAAAACAAUGACCUACACUCCAGAUCGACAAAUCAGCCAAUAUAUAGAAUGGCCACGCAUCCUUCCGUUUAUAUUGUCAAGACAAAUAUAGACUUCGCUUAGAUGUGCUCAAUCUAAACAGUGUACUAAACGAAUAACCUCCAUUUCUUCUUCAAGUACCAUGUCACAAUGUGUCGUGUCUGUAGGACUGCAAACUAAUAUUGGAUUUAAAUACCCAUUAGGGUAAUCAAAAGGGAUGUUUAUUCUGAGUGGAUAUUAGCCCCUUGGUGAAUCAACUAUCAAUGUAUUGUAAUGACCCUAUGUUUGAGUUCUUGUUUUUAAAGAACAUUUAACCUGCAGUUUAAUUUGAUGAAAUUGUUUCUGUAAUCCCCACUGUUGUCAUGUACUUGUAACCGUAAUAAAAUAAAACACGAAAUACAAACAAUAAUGCUGCAAUGUCGCAGUAAGGCAUACACAUUUAGGACUGAUCUUAGAAUGAUGAAAUGCAUGUUAAUUCUCAUUCACUCUGAUUGGCCCCCUCAAACACCAUUGUUUAGAUUUACAUAAUUUAAGAAGAUAUAUGUGGUAGUCUAACACCCAUAUAAAUAGAAUGAAUAUAAUGGGCUUGGAACCUCUAACCCUGGCAAUUCAUUCUAUUCUAUGUAACAACCACUCUAUGACAUCAGCAGCCAUAGAAAUAGAACCUGUGUCAUCUCUAUGAUGGCAUCUCUAUGAUGGCAUCUCUAUGAUGGCAUCUCUAUGAUGGCAUCUCUAUGAUGGCAUCUCUAUGAUGGCAGUCUCAUAGAAAAACUGUAUUCUUUGAGAUGGAAUGUUAAAACCUUCUAUGUAAUAACCAUAGAGAUAUAUGAUCUUGGUAAAAUGUAAACAUAAGCCCAGGUCAUCUAAUCUAAAUUAUUAUUAGGAUAGGCGACUUCUAUCACUCCAUUCUACAAUAAUAUGCUACACAAACUUUCUUAACAUCCACAAAAUACAGUCAGUAAACAUUUCCUGUUGGUGGUUUAUAACCGAUGUGAAACGGCUAGCUAGUUAGCGGUGGUGCACGCUAAUAGCGUUUCAAUCGGUGACGUCACUUGCUCUGAGGCCUUGAAGUAGUUGUUCUCUCCGCAGGUUUUGUGGCUCGAUGGUCACCUAACGAUGCUUCGUGAGGUGGCUGUUGUUGAUGUGUGCAGAGGGUCCCUGGUUCGAGGCGAGG
ensembl:lncRNA